UGUCUUGCCUGGCAGGGGAGAUACCAUGAUAACGAAGAUGGUUUUUCCAGGGCGAGGCUUAUCCAUUGCUCACCCCUGAGAUUUCCCUAAAUGCGGGAAACUCACUGAAUAAUUUGUGGAAUUGGGGACCUGCGUUUGUGCUCUCCCCUA
rnacentral:snRNA from 1 species